UGGGGAAUCUUCCGCAAUGGACGAAAGUCUGACGGAGCAACGCCGCGUGAGUGAAGAAGGUUUUCGGAUCGUAAAACUCUGUCUUUUGGGGCGAACGUGAGUAUGGUGAACAAUCAUAGUCAGUGACGGUACCAAAGGAGGAAGCCACGGCUAACUACGUGCCAGCAGCCGCGGUAAUACGUAGGUGGCAAGCGUUGUCCGGAAUUAUUGGGCGUAAAGAGCGCGUAGGCGGGAUAGUCAGUCUGUUGUAAAGUGCGGGGCUCAACCCCGUGAUGGCAAUGGAAACAGCUAUUCUUGAGUGCAGGAGAGGAAAGUGGAAUUCCCAGUGUAGCGGUGAAAUGCGUAGAUAUUGGGAGGAACACCAGUGGCGAAGGCGACUUUCUGGACUGUGUCUGACGCUGAGGCGCGAAAGCCAGGGGAGCGAACGGGAUUAGAUACCCCGGUAGUCCUGGCCGUAAACGAUGGGUACUAGGUGUGGGAGGUAUCGACCCCUUCCGUGCCGGAGUUAACGCAAUAAGUACCCCGCCUGGGGAGUACGGUCGC
rnacentral:rRNA from 1 species